CACGUAGGGCGCAAGCGUUGUCCGGAAUUAUUGGGCGUAAAGAGCGUGUAGGCGGCCAUGUAGGUCCGUUGUGAAAACUCGAGGCUCAACCUCGAGACGCCGAUGGAAACCAUGUGGCUAGAGUCCGGAAGAGGAGAGUGGAAUUCCUGGUGUAGCGGUGAAAUGCGCAGAUAUCAGGAAGAACACCCGUGGCUAAGGCGGCUCUCUAGUACGGUACUGACGCUGAGACGCGAAAGCGUGGGGAGCGAACAGG
rnacentral:rRNA from 1 species